GGGGUUACCAAGCCAUAACUUUGCCACCUAUGUCGCAUCAUAGCUACGAUCGCUUAUGUCAUGACUUAUGUCUCACUAACAAAAGUUAUAAAUACGGGCCCUGGUGAGAGUGCAAGUGUUAGUGAGCCACACAUCCUUGCACUAGUGGGUUCACAGGAACACCAAGAGAAAAGUUACAAAAGACGUUUUUAUGGAUGGUGACUCGUCCUCCGACGACCUCCUCCUCCCCACCCUUUUCCCCUCCUUUUUUAUGUUAUCCAUCUCCAGCCUUCAUUUAUGGCACACUGGGGGGGGGGAAGAAAACACUGGCUGAUGCUCUCUCCCAUGGUGAUGCUCCGGCCUGCAUGGUCUUGUCCCCCACCAUUGGACUAUGCAGAGGUAGUGGCAGCGCAGGAGAAUGACCCAGAACUGCAGGCACUGCUAGAGGGCCCCACGUCACUGCAGCUCGUCCAGUAGCAGCUCCCUGACUCUUCAAGGGGAAAGGGGUACUGUAGCCAACUACUACUACCACCAUCACCACCACAUGCACUAAGUGACCUGCCUGGGCGAGCUUAGCACAGUCACUCUGGUAGUCCAUCCCAGCUAGGUGCACAGCUUGACUUGAUGC